rnacentral:rRNA from 1 species
UACGGAGGGAGCUAGCGUUGUUCGGAAUUACUGGGCGUAAAGCGCGCGUAGGCGGCUUUGUAAGUUAGAGGUGAAAGCCCGGAGCUCAACUCCGGAACUGCCUUUAAGACUGCAUCGCUUGAAUCCAGGAGAGGUGAGUGGAAUUCCGAGUGUAGAGGUGAAAUUCGUAGAUAUCAGGAGGAACACCAGCGGCGAAGGCGGCGCUCUGGGCCGGUACUGACACUGAGGAGCGAAAGCGUGGGUAGCAAACAGG